rnacentral:rRNA from 1 species
GACGAACGCUGGCGGCGUGCCUAAUACAUGCAAGUCGAACGCACAGGGAGGAGCUUGCUUCUCUGGAUGAGUUGCGAACGGGUGAGUAACGCGUAUGUAACCUGCCUGGUAGCGGGGGAUAAAUAUUGGAAACGAUAGCUAAUACCGCAUAAUAUCAGUUGUUGCAUGACAACUGUUAGAAAGGGGCAGUUGUACCAUUACCUGAUGGACCUGCGUUGUAUUAGCUAGUUGGUGGGGUAACGGCUCACCAAGGCGACGAUACAUAGCCGACCUGAGAGGGUGAUCGGCCACACUGGGACUGAGACACGGCCCAGACUCCUACGGGAGGCAGCAGUAGGGAAUCUUCGGCAAUGGACGGAAGUCUGACCGAGCAACGCCGCGUGAGUGAAGAAGGUCUUCGGAUCGUAAAGCUCUGUUAUAAGAGGAGAACGAGUGUGUGAGUGAAUAUGCCCCUCUGGACGGUAACUGUUCAAGAAGGGACGGGUAACUUCGUG